ensembl:lncRNA
UGUGGUGGGGGCCGGGGUGGGGCCAUGGAAGCUAAUACAUGGUGCACUAGGUCACACGACGGACACUGGGGGGUGGGUGGGGAGGAGAAGGGGGAAGGGAGGGGGAUAAGGAGGUUCCCCCCCGCAGUUAUCUCUGGGAGAAAAGAGUGUCCUGGACUGGCUGAGAAGGGGUUAAAAACCAGCCGCCUUCACCACCCCCACCCCCCACCGAGACUGUCCCCAACUCCCUCCCUGCCACCCAGCAAUCCCCCACACAAGGGGCAGAGGGCACUGACACCAUACACACACCUGCAGCGGCACCGCGGAGAGAACACCCCCGCCCCCCGCCCCCCACCUCCACUACGGCGUCCAGGCGGCUGACUGCAGUGGAGCGGAAUCGCGGAAUCGCGAUAGCAGGGCUGGCUGUCGCGACUCCACGAGGGCCAAGACCAGCCUCCCCGGCCAUGCAGCGCCCCAACUCGGGCAUCGCGCUCCGGUUCUCCCCCCCGUAACAUCCAGUUCAGGCUUUCGAGACAACCAGCUUUUGGGGUUCCUGACGGCAGGGCGGCAGGUGCGUGGCCAGCAGCGAAAGCCUGCCUGACUGUGGUGAUCGGUGUUCACCCAAAUCAGCAGCCUGGACGCCCCAAAUGCCAAACUCAUCGCCACUCUUAGUUAACAUCUUUUUCCACCGCUCAGUCUAUCACAGCCUCUAUUCCUGGUACUGAAAGAGCAAUACUCAGCGCGGGGGAAUCCUCUCACUUUCCAAACGGCAGGCCACCAAUCAGAAACAAAAUCAGGAGGGAGAGGGAUGGAGGAACAGGCAGUAGAAAGAGAACAAGGGGAUAUUGAGUGAUUUCAGGUUAGGAAGGGGGAAAAGAAAUACCACUCUGAGAAAAGUGGUACCGUAUUCUUCCCGAGUAUAGGUCCCCCACUGUCUAUUAAGUCAACUCUUAGCAAACUCCAUUUGGGCUACUCAUAAUUCCCACCUACAAGGCAUUAGGGCAGAUAAAGAUGGCAUGAUCUUUGCCUUCUGAUCCCUUAAUAAUUAUUGCAGUGAAGCCUCCUUGCCCAUGCAGAGAUGGCCGGGACAGGGUGAAAGAAGGUAGCUGGGGCAGGUUGGCUCAGAGCCCCCUGGGAUGGGGGAUGAAGGAGGUGAAUUUGGCACAUUGAACCCCUUCUUGUCAUAAGUGCUUUGAGGUCCUUCUCUCAAAUCCAGUUGGCACCAUCCCUCAGGCCAGCAGAAGAGGGGUUGAGCUUGUCUCCCCCUCCCCAAUUUCUACGGAUUUGUCUGAAGGAGGUGAGUGGGGUUCUCCCCGGCUGGUGGAAAUUGGGGGAUCCAAAAGAUUAGGAGUUAAAUGAAGGGAAGUUUUUUUUUUUUUUUUUUUUCCUCUCUUUUGUUUUUUCUUACAAAAGAUUCUAAGAAAACUUGGGGGUGGGAGGGGUGAAGAAGGGAGACCCAGUUGAGCUAAGUGUCCACAGACUUUUUUUCAAUGCCUCUUAGGGGCCUCCUCAAAGAGAGAUGGUCCCAUUUCCUCCCCUCUAUCUGAGGUUCCCUCCCCCCAGAGCGGCUCAGUUCCAAGGAAGUUUGGCACUUUUUUUUAAUUAAUGGGAAACAGAGGAAAGGAGAGGGUUGAGAGUUGAGGAAAAAGACAGACAUAGACAAAGAUAGAGACAAGACAGGUAACAAUGGGAACCACGGGGAGAGAAAGUGAAAGACUUAGGGAACCAGAGCAGGAGGAAAAUGCUGGGUGGGAUGGGUGUUGGGGGCUGGAGGGCAAAUAGGGAAGAACAAGGAAACAAUUCAAUGCAGCAAACACUUACUAAGCACCGGUUGGGUGCUGAAGAGCAGGGUGCAGGGAGGCCACUCAGAGUCUCUCAGAUCUGAUUGGCUAACAGGGAAGGUGGGGGAGGGGAAAGGUGAUGGGUUUUUCAAUGAUUCCCCAUCGUUGACCCCACAUCUGCGUCCCCUCUAGACAAACUGCAGCACAAAAGAUUGAGGUCAGAUUGCAGAAGGGACUUUCCAGGGAUGGGGAAGACAGUGGAGUGGUAAAAUGGAGAAAGAUGUGUGGCUCUCCACUCACCAACACAGUGAGUGAACUAGCUGACUGAGCUAGCAAACUACCUUUCAGAUAGCCCUGGCUGGCGGGGUAGGGGGUCCCCGAAAAAUGUGAACAGGGAGGGGGCUGUCACACAGAUACCCCAAGGGAACACUUUUCAGGAGGCCCAGCCUCCAGAGAUGUGUCUGUGUGAGAGGAGUACUGGAUCCCACUGACUGGGACCCAGAAAUAGGUCUACAGAAAGCAUCUAACAAACUAGAAGGGCAACUGAGGAUGCAAAUGAUAUGCAAACGAGUGCUUUCAAAUCCCACCUCCCCACUCCCAGACCUUACUUCACCUCUUCCUGGCUCCUUCCCCUGCUUAUGGGGGCCUGGGGAGUUGUAGGGGGGGAUAUUCCAGCUCGAUACUGCAGUCUCCACAUGUGGGUGGAGAUGCUGUGAAAUACUGUAAGGUCUUUUGAGAGGUGGAGGGAAGCAGUGGCCCGUAGGACCACCUCCACCUCCUACCCCAAGAGCCCCCAACUGCAGAAGAUAUGUACAAGGUUACAUCAAGAAUUGUUUUGGCACUCAAAUCUCCAUCCGGGUUUAGUCUGGAGAUUAGGGGUGACGGCAGCAGCGAUGGGAGGUGAAGGAUGAGGAAAUGGGGCCUGCCCCCUACCCUGGAGAUGAAGAGGGCAUGGAAAAAGUCACCCUAGUGCCCAAGCUACAGCCUCCCAUCAGGGCUGUGGUGGGAAAUUCAGUGCAAGGUACCUUGAAGGCUAUUGCUUUCUAGGGAUUUUCACAUUUUGAUUUGGGGGUGGCUCUCUAGCAAGGGGCAGGGGCCUUCCAGGCUUUAGGGGUAGGAAUUGUCUCUGGCUUUUCUCCUCUCCUGUUUUGGGAGACAGACGAGGAGGCCGGAUUCCCCCAAAGCCAUGGAGAAGAGAAGGGUCUGGAAGACCUGUGAGGGGGACAAUUGGGGGAGAGGGUGGGCAGGGGGUGCCCCUCCCCCAGAGAUGCUGAUGAUGGAACCAGGGCACCAGGGUCCCUGCUUUGGGCUGGAGGAAGUGGAGGUGGUCUCCAUGAGGGAGGGGGAGAUGGAUGGGGUAGAGAUGGGUCUCAGCUCUCCUAAGUCCAUAGGGUUGUCAGGCCCUGACAUCUCAGCCUGCCAACAAGGCCUUAGAGCUGACCACAGCCGCAGUGCCCAGGGAGCCACUCUCAAACCAACUCUCAGGGCUGCCUGGCUUGGCAGACUUCAUCAGAACAUUCUAGAUCCUCAGAGCCUAUGGUGAGAGCACCAAAACAUUCCGAUCCAUCAGAGACCACCAAAGUACUCCAGUUUGCCGGAAACCACGAGUCAAUCUAAUGCAUUAGACCACACAAAGCAUUCCAGCUCAAGGGACCCUACCAUGGCUCAUUGCAUUCUCCUGGGCCACCGUGGCCUGACAGAGCCACCAUACAUUUGGCUCACCAGACUUAAUGAAACAAAGCCACGCAGACACAAGCAUGCACACAGAAGGCGGGGGUGGGAAAGAGGGUCUUUAACAGUUUUCACCAGCUCCAUCUCCCACCCCUCCCUGCCAGGUGAGUUCUGACUUGGUGUGUUUGGAUGGAGGUGACCCCGAAAAUAGUGGGUCUUUUUCCUUAUAGUCCUCCAGAUUAGAUCCAAGUCCCACGCCUUAUUCUUCUUCUAGGAAGACCCUCAGGCCAAAACCCACCACGGAGGGGUGUGGGUAGAGGAGGAUCAGUGACUGGCCAUGGCCUGAUACAGGAAGUACAUGCUUCAUCCCGAUGAUGUCACAGGAAGUAACCUAGAGACACCACAGUAAGUGCAUGCCCCUAUGACAUCUUGGAAGUAACCUUCAAGGAAGGCUCAUUGAGACAUCACAGGAAGUACCUGUCUCUCCUAUCAUCACAGGAAGUAACCUCUGGGGAACUACUUCCUGGGACAUCAUACAAAGUGCCAGAAGCACCCCAGGAAAGUACUUGACUCAGUGACAUCACAACAAAGACCUCAUACCCAUUAUUCUAGGAAAAGCCAUAGGAGAUGCCACAGGAAGUUGUUCCAGCCUCUUGCCAGUGCCAGUCUUGCCCACGAGACUGGCCCAAUCCCAGAGCCGGCCUUAUUCCCAGCAGCACCGCACCCCUCCC